rnacentral:lncRNA from 1 species
UUUGUUUUCACAAACCGGUUUAAACUGGUUUGAAACUGAAACUGGUUUUCUUGUUUAUCUCGUGUAAUCUAAAAUUAGUUCUAGAAUUUAAGCAAACUGCUCAUGGUGCAGUUAGAUAGUUUGGUUUCUGCAAACAAUAUAGUGAUGUCGCAAAGAAAAAGUACAGUGGAUAUGCGACCAACAUGAUAAAGGUGGGUGGAUUACGUAUUUUCAUGAUGAUAUAAACAUAAUAUAGAAUAAUAUAAGGAGAUGUGGGAUAAUUACCAAUGAGAUCUAUAACUAACCAACAGAGUUUGAAUAAAGUGGCUGUAAGCAAAAAUGUGCUAUGUUGAUCGAGCACAAGUAACUAGAUCAGGUAACUUGGGUAAGUAAACACAAACCCCAACUUAUUAAUUUUCAGCUUCCGAGCCCAUGUGCUGAAUUGUGCGUACAGAUGAUUUUCAUAAAAAAAACAGUAAAAAUAUCCUUGUAUGCAUCUUUCAAAGUCAAAUCUUUCUUAUCUGUUGUUGGGAGAUGGACUGCAUACUUUUGUAUCGACACAUAAACGCAUACACUUUAAACUAAUUCAAAUUGCUUAAACAUUGGGAAAAUGCAUUGCAUAAUUAUUUACCAAAACUGAACACAUACAUUAAAAACUAAUUCUAUGGCUCAAACAUUGGGAAAAUGUAUUGCAUAAUUAUUAACCGAAAAAUAACCACACAAAAUAGAACUAAUUCAAAUGACUAACUGAACCUUUUCUAACAUACAAUAUACUAUUGAUCCAGAUUGAAACAAUAAAACCUGGAUCUAGUUUCACAUAGUUUUCCAAGAAAGAAGUAGUGCUAUAGAAAAUAAUGUAUUUAUUCACAUAUUGAUUUUUCCUACGCUGUUUUGUAAGAGAAGACACAUCGAUUGGUGUUUUUAGUCAACGGUAUUCGACUUUUAAUAUAAAAAAGAUGUGGUAUGAAUGCCAAUGAGACAACUCUCCAUCCAAAUCACACUGUAGUCAAAGCAAUUCCAUGUGACACGGAGUACAUUUCUUAUAGUUCUGUUAAUUAAUUUUAUUUAUAUUCAUAUAUUCAUAGUGGGAAAAGAAUUGAUCACAAAGAAAAAUGUUGCAGUUCGUAGAAACUAUGCAGGAGGAUUUCUGGCUUUUGUCAGAGCUUAAACAGCAAAACCAGGACAAAAUGAAGAAAAAUAAUUGGAACUUAUAUCAGAGAAUGUUUCCCUUUUCCAAAAGUAGACCUUAUUGAUUCGUCAAUACAUAUUACUAGGAAUGUGAUAUUUUGUAUGUUUUAUUCAUCGAUUUUAUUAUUACCAGAA